GACGAACGCUGGCGGCGUGCUUAACACAUGCAAGUCGAACGAUGAAGCCUUCGGGUGGAUUAGUGGCGAACGGGUGAGUAACACGUGGGCAAUCUGCCCUGUACUUUGGGAUAAGCCUUGGAGACGGGGUCUAAUACCGGAUAUCACUUCUGACCGCAUGGUUGGUUGUUGAAAGUUCUGGCGGUACAGGAUGAGCCCGCGGCCUAUCAGCUUGUUGGUGGGGUAAUGGCCUACCAAGGCGACGACGGGUAGCCGGCCUGAGAGGGUGACCGGCCACACUGGGACUGAGACACGGCCCAGACUCCUACGGGAGGCAGCAGUGGGGAAUAUUGCACAAUGGGCGAAAGCCUGAUGCAGCGACGCCGCGUGAGGGAUGACGGCCUCGGUUGUAACC
rnacentral:rRNA from 1 species